CUGGACACAUAGCUUCCAGUUCUGUACCCAAAGUUCUUGGCUUCCACCCAGGGGAUGUGCCAAUAAAUGUUUAAACCACCUUCCCCAGGGAGGAUGAAAAAGGUAUGAACAUGAUACUGUAACUCGUGGCACUAUUCCAGGGGAUGGGCUGGAAAGAAAGAAAACUCUCUUAGUACUGAUUCAGUCUCUGUCUCUCUCUCUCUGCACACCUAACCUGUAAGUGCUCAAACACUGACUCCAUAGUAAACAUUUUCUGAAUAGACCCCUGUCCAGUCCUAACUCUUUGCCUUAAUUGACCCUUUGCCCUCAGUUUGCCUGCGUACUUGGCACACACAAUUCCCCGACACCCUGGUGCCUGUUUGCGAUGCCAGGCAAAGGAAGUGCUCCGUGGGAAGGGACUUUCUUACCCACAGCAUGGGUUUGCCUAAACAGAGUGUCUCUUUCACCUCACCCGUGUUUUGCAGAAGGCACUGGCCAUCACUCUUCUUUCUGGCUUCCACAGAGCAUGGAGAUCUAGUUGAGCUCCUGAGCGCCAGCUGAGCUCCUGUACACAGCCUUCCUCUCACCACCUCAGGGCUGUCUCCUCUCCUGAAAAUCAACUUGCGGUAUCAUUGAAGCUGAUUACAAGGGAACCAAAGACACGCCUAACACAGUUCUGAGGUGAAUAUGAUCAACCUUUGAAGAAGCUAAAUAACUGACAACCUGUCAAUAUAACCUGUCCCCUGCUGGAGCGCUCAACAAAAAGUAAUUAAGAGGACCCAGGCCACCAUCAGUCCCAAAGACUCGAUGUUGGUGGGAACCCUCUAAGGCUGUGGAGCCUCCAGUGGGCCGGAUUUGGGUGUCAGAAUGGAAACAAUUUGAUCACUCAGGCCAGGUGGUGAGUCCAACUUGAUCUUCACUUAUUCAGCAGCUGUUUUGGCAAACCUUAGCUUAAGCGCCUUGGGCAUAACGUGAAAGGGUGAGCACAGGUGGGAAAGUGUGACUCAUUUCUCCUUGCACCUUCUUGAAGGUCAGCCCAAUGCCAAAGACACCUUGGUGAGAAUAUAUGGGUGCGUGCAGUUGCCUGAUCAGAAGGAUCUCCUGGAUUUUGCCUUGGGCGCGGGGAUAACGGGAACGUGAAUAACAGGGGGGUUUGGGGGUGUGUUGGAUUCGGAGGUGGGACAGUGGUCU